AAAAAAGAGAGAGAGAGAGAGACCUGCCGACACAGAGGGAUGGCCACUUUCCACUGUAACACCAAAAAUGGUCCUUUCACGAGUGCCCAUCAGAUUCAGGCCUAGCAAAAGUUGUUAGUGAAAAGCUCAGUAGGAGUAUUAGGGUAUGUUUUUAGCAUUAAUUAUUGCAGAUAAACAUCAACAUAUUUAUAUCUCUGUCUGUAGUCUUAUCAGAAGAAACAGCGUAUGGUUAGUGUGAUUUGUGAGUGGAACAAAAAAUAACCAUAUCUCUCUCUUAUUUCUGUUCCUCUAGGGUUCCUGAUUGUUUGUCUGUUCUUUUGGUUCUGGCCUUGCUCGAGGGACAGCACUCUGCCAGCUGGGUUAGAUUAUAUAUGGGUUUGUGGUGCUUGUGUUUGGUUUGUUUUGUAAGCAGGUUUUGUUUCUUUAGUGAGAGGGCAACUUUUCAAAGAUCUGAUGUGCAGGGUUUGCCUCUGCUUGUGAUGGGUUGAUCGGUGUGGUGGAUGGUUGGGUGUACUUUAUGUGGCGUAAGGGUUCCUUUGCUUCAGCUGUAAAGCAAUUUUGAGAUCUGUUUCUACACCAUGGUCACACCAUAGUCCGAAAGGUCUUCUUGUUGACUUUGAGUGACAGAGUGCUCUACCAUAAUCCUCCCUUGUCAAAUUGAAAAUAUAAAACCCUAACCACCUAUUUGUAAAUUUAAAUAUCAAAUUGAACAACUGAAAUUUAAAGAUUUAAAAUCAAAUUUG
rnacentral:misc_RNA from 1 species